UGCGUGAAGUGAUUGUGAUGUUUGAUAAUCCAGGGAAGUCCAGGACAGGGAUUAGGCAUAUAAUAGGAUUAAACUCCUAAUCGGCACCUCGACGUGACCGACAAUAUAACAAAGGUUUCCUCCGAGUCCAGUCCACAAGUCGAUUUGGGGAGACAGAAAGCACAGGCUUGUAGCUCACGAAAAAUCUUCUUUAAUCACUCGAAGAAACCAGACUACGAUUCACAAUGAAUACGGGAGUAUUGCUAAUGUUGCUCGUUGCCUUGUUCAUGGUAUUGGCUCCUGCCAGUGCUCUCGUUAUCACCAAAAAGAGGAAUUUCCCAGGAGAGAGACGCCUGGGGAAGGUUAAUUACGGACAGCACGAAUUUGGACCCAAAGGCUACCGUAGACGAGCCCAUUACAGGCGAGGAUGAAGCUAAGAUCACCUUUAUCAAACUAUAAACAACGUGAACCUAGGCCAUCAAUUCUUGAGUCUCGAAGGCCCUGGAAACAUGACGGUGAAAAUUUUGUUUUUGAAAUUUCGUCAUGUCAGAAAAAGGAGAAAGUUAUUCGUGUUGUGAAGUGAAUUCAUUUUUUUUUUUUAGACUUGAUUUUUAAGUCAAGUGACUUUGACAAGCUUUAUGUUUUUAGUAUUCUUAAGUGUGUGUAGUUAUUAAAAACUAGUCUAAAUGUGUGAUUGUUUUCUCUGAAUGUAACCAUUUUUCUGUUUUUUUGAAGUUUUGUAUAGAAUCUAUAUUUCUAUAUAAAAAAAAACUACGAUAAA
rnacentral:lncRNA from 1 species